CGGAAUAUAGCGCAGUCCGGUAGCGCAUCUGCCUUGGGAGCAGAGGGCCGCAAGUUCGAAUCUUGCUAUUCCAACCA
rnacentral:tRNA from 4 species